UACGUAGGUGGCAAGCGUUGUCCGGAUUUACUGGGCGUAAAGAGCGCGCAGGCGGUCGAGUAAGUCGAAUGUGAAAGCCCCCGGCUUAACUGGGGAGGGUCAUUCGAUACUGUUCGACUUGAAGGCAGGAGAGGGCAGCAGAAUUCCUGGUGUAGCGGUGAAAUGCGCAGAUAUCAGGAGGAACACCGGUGGCGAAGGCGGUUCUCUGGGCAUUACCUGACGCUGAGGAGCGAAAGUGUGGGGAGCGAACAGG
rnacentral:rRNA from 1 species